CGGUGGGUAAAGCCGGGGGUUCCGGCGAGCGGCCUGUAAAGCCGCGCCCGUAUGCGGGGAGUGGUUCGAGUCCACACCCACCGACCA
rnacentral:tRNA from 1 species